rnacentral:rRNA from 1 species
CGCAAUGCCCGAAAGGGUGACAAUGCGACGCCGCGUGAGCGAUGAAGGCCUUAGGGUUGUAAAGCUCUGUCAGCAGGGAUGAAUACAUACGGAUCAAUACCCCGUAUGUUUGACGGUACCUGCAGAGGAAGCCUCGGCUAACUCCGUGCCAGCAGCCGCGGUAAUACGGAGGAGGCAAGCGUUGUUCGGAUUCACUGGGUGUAAAGGUCAUGUAGGCGUUCUUUUAAGUCGGGUGUGAAAUCCCAUGGCUCAACCAUGGAACUGCAUUCGAUACUGGAAGAAUUGAGUACUUGAGAGGUAAGCGGAAUUCCGGAAGUAUGGGUGAAAUCAGUAGAUAUCCGGAAGAACACCAUUAGCGAAGGCGGCUUACUGGCAAGAUACUGACGCUGAAAUGAGAAAGCUAGGGGAGCGAACAGGAUUAGAUACCCUGGUAGUCCUAGCUGUAAACGAUGGGCACUAAGUAGAGGGG